UACGUAGGCAGCAAGCGUUGUUCGGAGUUACUGGGCGUAAAGGGUGCGUAGGUGGCUCUAUAAGUAUGGUGUGAAAUCUCCCGGCUUAACUGGGAGGGUGCGCCGUAGACUGUGGGGCUAGAGUGUGGGAGAGGAAAGUGGAAUUCCUGGUGUAGCGGUGAAAUGCGUAGAUAUCUGGAGGAAUACCGGUGGCGAAGGCGGCAUCCUGGACCGACAUUGACGCUGAACGGCGAAAGCUAGGGGAGCAAACGGG
rnacentral:rRNA from 1 species